UUCUCGAUAGAUCAUAAUUCCUGGAAUUGGUUUAUGGUCCAAAUGAUUCGUCGCCGUAGGAUGGGACUGCGGCCUAUCAGCUUGUUGGUGAGGUAAUGGCCCACCAAGGCUAUUACAGGUACGGGCUCUGAGAGGAGAAGCCCGGAGAUGGGUACUGAGACACGGACCCAGGCCCUAUGGGGCGCAGCAGGCGAGAAACCUUUGCAAUGUGCGCAAGCACGACAAGGUUAAUCCGAGUGUUUCCUGCUAAAGGAAUCUUUUGCCAGUCAUAAAACCACUGAUGAAUAAGGGGUGGGCAAGUUCUGGUGUCAGCCGCCGCGGUAAAACCAGCACCUCGAGUGGUCAGGAGGAUUAUUGGGCCUAAAGCAUCCGUAGCCGGCUGCGCAAGUUUUCGGUUAAAUCUAUGCGCUUAACGUAUAGGCUGCCGAAAAUACUGGGUAGCUAGGGAGUGGGAGAGGUACACGGUACUCAAUAGGAAGGGGUAAAAUCCUUUGAUCUAUUGAUGACCACCUGUGGCGAAGGCGGUGUACCAGAACACGUUCGACGGUGAGGGAUGAAAGCUGGGGGAGCAAACCGGAUUAGAUACCCGGGUAGUCCCAGCUGUAAACGAUGCAGACUCGGUGAUGCCUUGGCUUGUGGCCAAUGCAGUGCCGCAGGGAAGCCGUUAAGUCUGCCGCCUGGGAAGUACGUACGCAAGUAUGAAACUUAAAGGAAUUGGCGGGGGAGCACCACAAGGGGUGAAGCCUGCGGUUCAAUUGGAUC
rnacentral:rRNA from 1 species